AACCAGCGAUUACAAUUAUUAACUGUGAAAGUGGGACAAAUUUGUUGAAAUUAUCGGUCACUUGCGAAUGCAUAAAAUAGAACGUUCACAUACUACUCGUAUUACCUGUGUAUUUCUGUUCAUCUCUCCUACACCUAUUUUGGUAGGAAAAUAAACAACGAAAAUUUUUCCAAACGGUGGAAAAUUGAUGCUUAUGAUUUCCUACCACCUCUCAAAUUCAUUACACCUAAAAUAGGUCAUUACAGGUCAUCGACAUGCUCAUAAAGGGAAAAAUUUUAUCGCCAGCGAAGGGUAGUUGGCUGGGUGCUAUGAAGAUAGCAGACUAUACUUACCUACCAACCCAGCUACAAACUUACAAUGGAGGUGAGGUCAAAGGUGGACAUACGAGUGAGAAGAAAAAUACUUAAGACAGUAGGUAGGUCUAGGUAGGUAAUAGGUAUCUAUUUGAAGUUUAUUUUAAACGCAAACGCCGUAAUAUUUUACAAUAUAACUACAUACCUAGAUAUACCUACGUAUAGUUUUUCAUUAUUAACAGGGUGUAUUCUAACCAAAUUGAAAAACAAAAAAAGAACUUCGAGUUUUGAAAGAUUCUUCUCUUCAUUCUUGAAUAUUUUUGGCUGUGUACAUACAGUGCAUGUAGGUAUUUAAAAAAAAAACCUCUUAGUUCUUCUCAAAUUGAUUUUACUUAAUAAAAAAAAGUGAAAAAAAACAUCAAAUUUUUUCGGUAACUUAUAGAAUUACUGAUUGUAAUUAGGUACCUAAUUUUGGAUUAAAAUUAAGGAUCUGUUUGCAGUAAAAAACAAUUCUUAAUUGUGGGAAUCAUAUCAAAAACUAAAGAUUAGAACAAAAUUUAGAGAAUAAAAUUUACCAUUUUUGGGCUAACUACUGGUUAAUUCAUCCUUUAGAAACUUUAUUUCAUUUUAAAGAUAGGCAUAUCUGUUCCUAGCAAAAAAUCAGAAAAACUAAGAAAAAUGAGACUUGGCGAAAAAAAUCUAACAUAAUUUUCUCGCAGAUUCAUAUUUUGUCACAUCAAUGCUUUAGUAUUUUAUAAACUUAGUAAAUAUUAUAUUGCAAGAAUUCAUUUUUCAAGCCCAUUUUAAA